GCUUGUCUCAAAGAUUAAGCCAUGCAUGUCUAAGUAUAAACAAAUCUAUACGUGAAACUGCGAAUGGCUCAUUAUAUCAGUUAUAGUUUAUUUGAUGGUUCAUACUACUUGGAUAACCGUAGUAAUUCUAGAGCUAAUACAUGCGUCAAAAUCCGACUCCUGGGAGGGUUGUAUUUAUUAGAUGGAAACCAAUGCGGGGCAACCCGGUAUAUGGUGAUUCAUAAUAACUUUCGGAUCGAUCUUCGGAUCGAUGCAUCAUUCAAGUUUCUGCCCUAUCAGCUUUGGAUGGUAGGGUAUUGGCCUACCAUGGCUUUAACGGGUAACGGAGAAUUAGGGUUCGAUUCCGGAGAGGGAGCCUGAGAAACGGCUACCACAUCCAAGGAAGGCAG
rnacentral:rRNA from 1 species